CUACCUUGAAUGCGAUUAUAUAGACGCUAGAACGUGCAGCUGCAAUUUUUCCGUCUCCCUGGCGCACACAAGUGACGACCUCACGUUCUCAUGAUGCAAACAAAUCCGUUGAUACAUUCAGACACAGGCAGCGGUGGGCCCCGUUAAAAUACCAAAUCCAAACACCUAUUCCUUUCUCCCCCAACAUGGUUUCCCAGCCCCGAUCCGCCCCACGACCAAAUCAACCUGGAGCGGCUGGAGCCUCCAAAUCCGCCCGAAUCCACGCCGGAAUCGCUGCAAUUUCACGCCGCCGGCCGUGUUAACCGCGGCCAUCGUCCUCCGCCGUCUCCCCUGUCCCGACCCACGCCGAAUCAGCCUUGAUUUGGCAGCGCCGGCCGCCUACCUGGCUAGCCGCUGCGGCCCUCAUCCUCCGCCGUCUCCCCUGUCCCGACCCACGCCGAAUCAGCCUUGAUUUGGCGGCGCCGGCCGCCUACCUGGCUAGCCGCGGCGGCCCUCAUCCUCCGCCGUCUCCCCUGUCCCGACCCACGCCAAAUCAGCCUUGAUUUGGCGGCGCCGGCCGCCUACCUCGCUAGCCGCGGCGGACCCUCAUCCUCCACCCCGCACUAGUCGCCUCCUCCUCGUUGGCGGCGGCAGCGGCCCCAGCGGAGACGGCAACACCGGCCCUGACGCCGCGCGAGAUGUGCUCCAGGGCGACAUCGUCCUCUAGGGCGUCGAAGACGAGGGCCUCCGGAGUGGCGUCCCAGAGCUGGCUGAGCUGCUCAGGAGCGUCCAAGGCGGCCACGGAUGAGAGCUCGUGAAACGUUGCAAAGAGAUCAUCGAGGAGGAGCGCAUCCAGUUUCGGUGAGAGAUCUUCGGUGGCUGUACUCGUGUCCGUUGAUGCUUGUUGGCUGCUCGGAGUUGGGGCAGGCUGGGAUGGUGGUGGUGGAGCCCUGCGUCGACGUGCUAGGCCUAGGCUAGGCUAAUUGUGUUAAUUAACGCAUGUGACUUAGUCCAUAACCAACCUCAUGAACUGGUGUGAUCACACGUUCUCUGUUUUCCAGGAUGAGCUCGUUAGUGAUCCAAAUUAUUAGGAGAGUUACUAGCUUAUACACGUUGUAAACUUGUACCUGUAUUUGAAUCGAUCCGGUGCAGCGAACACGAAGUUUGGCUGUUCCCAAGGGCGGCCGGGAGCCUCGGCGGGUUCAGCGAGUGGUUGGCAGGGCUGUUGCUGCCCACCACAAGCUCCUCCAUGUGCAAGGGCCAACCGGAAGAAUUUAGUGAGAUCUGAAAAGAUAGUUGUGUUUUUAUCAAAAUUAAUUUGUCACACUCGUGUAAAGUUGCGAGAACGGCUGACAAAGUUGCCAGCUUUAGAAGAAAAUUGUCUACAUAAAAGAUAGCACACGUUAGCAAAAGCAACGAUCGGACACACCAAAGAUGUUUGCGAUGGGGUGAAAAAUUCUAGAGUGGAGCAAAAACUGUUAGCGGGUGGAACCAAAGUUGCUAGUAUGCCGAUCAAAAAAAAGUU
rnacentral:lncRNA from 1 species